rnacentral:lncRNA from 1 species
UGGCAGCUCGCGCCUUCGCGCUCUGAGCGCUCGCUCCGGCUGUCCCAGGUCUGCCCGAAGCAGCUCGGUUCUCGGUGCAGCGCAAUAAAAACGCAAGUUUAGGGGUUUUUUUAAGUCUGAAAGGCAAGAAGGCCGAAAACGAGGCUUGGGUUUUGAUCACGGUAACUGCGCGCAAGAAUUUUAUCUAACUGUCCUUCCAAAAAGAAAAAAAAAAAGAAAAAAGAAAGAAAAACCUGAGCAACAACCAAAAAGCACCUUCCCUGAGCCCCGGCACUUCUUCCAGAGCCAGCAGGUGGAGCCUGAAGAAUAGCAUCGAUUUCCAGCCCCGUUUGUGCUAGAGACCGUUGAGUAGGAGCUAUCUGCGCUGAAAUCCUGAUUGAAUAAAAAUUGUUCAUUAUGCAAACUGUCUGGUUCGGUACGCAGAGGCAGCCCCCAGGCACAGACCCCACGUCGCUCCUUUCUCUUUCCCCAGAUUAAAACAUAUGAACUGCUUUGAUGUAAUCUUAUAACAAAGCCUAAUGGAAAUUGUAUAUGCUCUGAAGUUGACUGUCGUUUCUCGUUGCCCCGCUUCCUCUGCCCUCUUAACGCUCCAGUUCAGAGAUCUGCAGCUGAACCUCGCGCUCUUUUUGCUCUCAAAUACGUCUCUAGGCUUCUCGGGUCCACAGAGCAAGACGAGGAGAUCAGCUGCUGCUGCUCGCCCAGGAAUUUCUUCAUCUAGACACAACACAGAGAAAGGAGAGGAACCUGCAGUCUCAAAGUUGUCCGUUUUGGGGCUCAACUGGGGGUCUGAGCUGGCGUUUCAAUUUUGACACUAUCCAAGUGCCAAAGGAUCUUGACCUUCCUUGUAAAACCCUUCGGGAGCGGUGUCAUGCUUGCUGUUGGGGGUGACGAGAACUGCUUUCCCAGCAGCGCAGAAGGAGCCUCUGCUUUCCCGAGCCAAAGGGAUGCAGAUAGCCCGCGGCGACCUCUCCUCCUUAGCUCCAGAGUGCAGCGAGGAAACACCCUGGCUGCAGUAAGGAAAAGAUACCAAACCUCCUAAAAUCUGCACAGAUCUCGCCGCUCAAUUGCCUUUGAAACCGUUCUGAGCUCUGGUCUGUCGUUUGAUAGAAUAAAGAUCUCCAGUUGGAUUGCA